rnacentral:rRNA from 1 species
UACGGAGGAUGCAGGCGUUAUCCGGAUUUAUUAGGUUUAAAGGGUGUGUAGGCGGAUUAUUAAGUCAGUGGUGAAAUCCCGUCGCUUAACGACGGAACUGCCAUAGAUACUGAUAGUCUUGAAUACAGUUGAAGUAGGCGGAAUGUGUAGUGUAGCGGUGAAAUGCUUAGAUAUUACACAGAACACCGAUUGCGUAGGCAGCUUACUAAACUGUGAUUGACGCUGAGGCACGAAAGCGUGGGGAU